rnacentral:tRNA from 1 species
AGGAUAUUAGUUUAAUUAAAAACAUUUAAAUUGCAUUUAAAAAUUAUCUCACAAAAUAUAUCUUA